rnacentral:rRNA from 1 species
CCUACGGGAGGCAGCAGUGGGGAAUAUUGCACAAUGGGCGAAAGCCUGAUGCAGCGACGCCGCGUGAGGGAUGACGGCCUUCGGGUUGUAAACCUCUUUCAGCAGGGAAGAAGCGAAAGUGACGGUAGUGGGAGAAGAAGCACCGGCCAACUACGUGCCAGCAGCCGCGGUAAUACGUAGGGUGCGAGCGUUGUCCGGAAUUACUGGGCGUAAAGAGCUCGUAGGCGGCUUGUCGCGUCGUCUGUGAAAUCCCGCAGCUCAACUGCGGGCUUGCAGGCGAUACUGGCAAACUUGAGUACUGCAGGGGAGACUGGAAUUCCUGGUGUAGCGGUGAAAUGCGCAGAUAUCAGGAGGAACACCGGUGGCGAAGGCGGGUCUCUGGGCAGUAACUGACGCUGAGGAGCGAAAGCGUGGGUAGCGAACAGGAUUAGAUACCCUGGUAGUCCACGCCGUAAACGGUGGGCGCUAGGUGUGGGUUUCCUUCCACGGGAUCCGUGCCGUAGCUAACGCAUUAAGCGCCCCGCCUGGGGAGUACGGCCGCAAGGCUAAAACUCAAAGGAAUUGACGG